rnacentral:rRNA from 1 species
GAGUUUGAUUAUGGCUCAGGAUGAACGCACAAGACGUGCCUAACACAUGCAAAUCGAAUGAAACCAAUAAUUAAUUAUUGGUUUCAUGGUGAACGGGUGAGUAACACAUAAGAAUCAGCUUUUAGAUAAGGCAUAAAAGAGUAAUAUCUUGGUAAUUCCUUAUAUGCGCAGCAGUGCUUAAAAAGGGGACUCCCGUCUAAAAACGAGCUUAUGCCUGAUUAGCUAGUUGGCGAGUUAAAAGCUCACCAAGGCGAAGAUCAGUAGCUGGCCUGAGAGGGCGGCCAGCCACAUUGGGACUGAGACACGGCCCAAACUCCUACGGGAGGCAGCAGUGGGGAAUCUUCUGCAAUGGGCGCAAGCCUGACAGAGCGGCGUCGUGUGAAGGAAGAAGGCCCGAAAUAGGUUGUAAACUUCUUUUACUGAGUAAUGAAUAAUGACAACGCAGUAAAAAAGUAUCGGCUAACUCCGUGCCAGCAGCCGCGGUAAUACGGGGGAUGCAAGCGUUAUCCGGAAUCACUGGGCGUAAAGCGUCUGUAGGUGGUUUAGUGUGUUCUUAGUUAAAUUAUGAAGCCUAACUUCAUGAAAAGUAAGAAAACUAUUAGACUUGAGUACGAUAGGGGUAAGAGGAAUUCUUCGAGAAGUAGUGAAAUGCGAAGAUACGAAGGAGAAGAUCAUAAGCGAAGGCUUCUUACUGGGUCGUAACUGACACUGAGAGACGAAAGCUAGGGGAGCGAAUGGGAUUAGAUACCCCAGUAGUCCUAGCUGUAAACGAUGGAUAUUCGGUGCCGGAUUUUAUUAGAACAUUUUGGUACCCUAGCUAACGCGUUAAAUAUCCCGCCUGAGGAGUACGCCCGCAAGGGUGAAACUCAAAGGAAUUGACGGGGGCUCGCACAAGCGGUGGAGCAUGUGGUUUAAUUCGAUGCAAAGCGAAGAACCUUACCAGGGCUUGACAGUAUGUAU